UUUUUUGUUCUUAAAUAUUUUCCUCACGGUUCAGAAGAACCCCACUGCGCGAAAAUGAUAAAGAAGUAGUAUAUGUAACCCUAGCAGGCGAAUAAUACACACCACUAUAAGAACAGACUUCAACUCGUACACCGAAGAUAUUUGCAAGCCAACAAAUGAAGAUGCUGUGGUUGCUGGCCUGCCUCGCACUCAUGGUCUCCGUGGCUGAGUGCGACCCUGUGAACGACACGGACUGCGUGUUAACGCAGCAGCUCGAUGGGUCUCUCCGCAACGUCGCUGAGGAUGUAGGAAUAGAACUAGUGCCCAACCUGAGCAACUGUAGCCUAAAGAGCGGGUAGCGCGUACUGCCCAGGUGGCUGUGUUUGCUGAUGCAUGUUUAACCUCUUCCACGAUACCCACUGCAUCUUCCUGGAUUACAACUGCGACUUCAUCAUGCGCAUUCUUCUUGGCGAAGUUUAUUUCUCGAAUCCAAGUUUGUAUCCAAAAAUUUUUUUAAAUUAAAAUUUGAAAUCACAAAGAAUUAAAAAAUAUUAUAAAUAUUUUUAUGUCAAAGAAUACAAAACAUUGAAAAAAUUGUAAUUUAUUUAUAUAUAAUUCGAACGGAAUACAACAAUCAAUUAAUCUACUGCUGCGUACUUAUUUGUGAAAUUUGUUAAUUGUUCUUUUAUGACUGUAAAACUGUAUUGAAAAAAUAUAUAUAAAAAAUAAAAUUGGCACUUUA